GAUGAACGCUGGCGGCGUGCCUAAUACAUGCAAGUCGAGCGAACAGACGAGGAUCUUGCUCCUCUUACGUUAGCGGCGGACGGGUGAGUAACACGUUGAUAACCUACCUAUAAGACUGGGAUAACUUCGGGAAACCGGAGCUAAUACCGGAUAAUAUAUUGAACCUCAUGGUUCAAUAGUGAAAGACGGUUUUGCUGUCACUUAUAGAUGUAUCCGCGCCGCAUUAGCUAGUUGGUAAGGUAACGGCUUACCAAGGCAACGAUGCGUAGCCGACCUGAGAGGGUGAUCGGCCACACUGGAACUGAGACACGGUCCAGACUCCUACGGGAGGCAGCAGUAGGGAAUCUUCCGCAAUGGGCGAAAGCCUGACGGAGCAACGCCGCGUGAGUGAUGAAGGUCUUCGGAUCGUAAAACUCUGUUAUUAGGGAAGAACAAAUGUGUAAGUAAAUAUGCACGUCUUGACGGUACCUAAUCAGAAAGCCACGGCUAACUACGUG
rnacentral:rRNA from 1 species